rnacentral:rRNA from 1 species
AGAUUGAACGCUGGCGGCAGGCCUAACACAUGCAAGUCGAGCGGCAGCACGGGUACUUGUACCUGGUGGCGAGCGGCGGACGGGUGAGUAAUGCCUAGGAAUCUGCCUGGUAGUGGGGGAUAACGCUCGGAAACGGACGCUAAUACCGCAUACGUCCUACGGGAGAAAGCAGGGGACCUUCGGGCCUUGCGCUAUCAGAUGAGCCUAGGUCGAUUAGCUA